rnacentral:tRNA from 1 species
GGGGAUUUAGCUCAGCGGUAGAGCGCUUGCCUAGCGAGCACAAGGUCCUGGGUUCGGUCCCCAGCUCCA